rnacentral:rRNA from 1 species
UACGUAGGUGGCAAGCGUUAUCCGGAAUUAUUGGGCGUAAAGAGCUCGUAGGCGGCUUGUUGCGUCGGCUGUGAAAUCCCGUGGCUUAACUGCGGGCUUGCAGCUGAUACGGGCGGGCUGGAGUUCGGUAGGGGAGACUGGAAUUCCUGGUGUAGCGGUGAAGUGCGCAGAUAUCUGGAGGAACACCGGUGGCGAAGGCGGCAUCCUGGACCGAUACUGACGCUGAGGAGCGAAAGCCAGGGGAGCAAACGGG